rfam:Pristionchus pacificus strain PS312 contig7483, whole genome shotgun sequence.
UCUUCAUUUCGCACACUCUCUCACCGGUCAGAGAUGCGAGAGACUAUGCGAAAUGAAGAUA